rnacentral:rRNA from 1 species
GAACCUGCCGUAUACUGGGGGAGUAACACUUAGAAAUAGGUGCUAAUACCGCAUAAGCGCACAGCUUCGCAUGAAGCAGUGUGGAAAACAAAAAGCUAAAGCUUUUGGUGGUAUACGAUGGAUCCGCGUCUGAUUAGCUAGUUGGCGGGGUAAAGGCCCACCAAGGCGACGAUCAGUAGCCGGCCUGAGAGGGUGAACGGCCACAUUGGGACUGAGACACGGCCCAAACUCCUACGGAAGGCAGCAG